AAUAGAUACCCAGGUAGUCCACGCCGUAAACGAUGAGUGCUAAGUGUUAGAGGGUUUCCGCCCUUUAGUGCUGCAGCUAACGCAUUAAGCACUCCGCCUGGGGAGUACGGCCGCAAGGCUGAAACUCAAAGGAAUUGACGGGGGCCCGCACAAGCGGUGGAGCAUGUGGUUUAAUUCGAAGCAACGCGAAGAACCUUACCAGGUCUUGACAUCCUCUGACCUCCCUGGAGACAGGGCCUUCCCCUUCGGGGGACAGAGUGACAGGUGGUGCAUGGUUGUCGUCAGCUCGUGUCGUGAGAUGUUGGGUUAAGUCCCGCAACGAGCGCAACCCUUGACCUUAGUUGCCAGCAUUCAGUUGGGCACUCUAAGGUGACUGCCGGUGACAAACCGGAGGAAGGUGGGGAUGACGUCAAAUCAUCAUGCCCCUUAUGACCUGGGCUACACACGUGCUACAAUGGAUGGUACAAAGGGCUGCGAGACCGCGAGGUUAAGCCAAUCCCAGAAAACCAUUCCCAGUUCGGAUUGCAGGCUGCC
rnacentral:rRNA from 1 species